UGGGGAAUAUUGGACAAUGGGCGCAAGCCUGAUCCAGCAACGCCGCGUGGAGGACGAAGGUCUUCGGAUCGUAAACUCCUGUCAGACGGGACGAAGGGACCGGGGCAAAUAGUCUCGGUUCUUGACGGUACCGUCAGAGGAAGCGCCGGCUAACCCUGUGCCAGCAGCCGCGGUAAUACAGGGGGCGCAAGCGUUGCUCGGAAUCACUGGGCGUAAAGCGAACGCAGGCGGACCGUUAAGUCGAAUGUGAAAUCCCGGGGCUCAACCCCGGAAGUGCAUUCGAAACUGGCGGUCUUGAGUACGGGAGAGGUGGGUGGAAUUCCUGGUGUAGAGGUGAAAUUCGUAGAUAUCAGGAGGAACACCGGUGGCGAAAGCGGCCCACUGGCCCGAUACUGACGCUCAUGUUCGAAAGCGUGGGGAGCAAA
rnacentral:rRNA from 1 species